rnacentral:lncRNA from 1 species
CUUCCUUAAAUAACCAAAUCAACAAUCCCCCUCUUACCAAACUUUUGAAAAAUUCCAAAAAUUAAUUUUCUCUUGAUUAAUUUUGCACUAAUUAAAAGGCAAAACGAUUACAUAUGAACUCACUACAAUUACAAAGCCUGCAGCAGAUUAAGAGUAAUAAAAUAUGCAUACAUUGUUGAUAAUAGCGUCUUCAUCAAGUUUGUAUUUAACUCCCCAAAUACUGUCGCUUGUAGCGAUAUAUGUUCUUCCCUUCUUCUAUUCUUAAGUAAUAGCCAAAAGAUUUAAAGUAAAAGAACCUUUGGGAGGAAAAAAAGAUCUUUC